rnacentral:rRNA from 1 species
CUGAAUAACUACGCUGAUCGCAUGGUCUCGAACCGGCGACGUAUCCUUCAAGUGUCUGCCUUAUCAACUGUCGAUGGUAGUUUAUAUGACUACCAUGGUUGUAACGGGUAACGGAGAAUCAGGGUUCGACUCCGGAGAGGGAGCCUGAGAAACGGCUACCACAUCCAAGGAAGGCAGCAGGCGCGCAAAUUACCCACUCUCAGAUCGAGGAGGUAGUGACGAAAAAUAACGAGACAGUUCUCUAUGAGGUCUGUCAUCGGAAUGGGUACAAUUUAAACCCUUUAACGAGGAUCUAUUGGAGGGCAAGUCUGGUGCCAGCAGCCGCGGUAAUUCCAGCUCCAAUAGCGUAUACUUAAGUUUGUUGCGGUUGAAACG